GAGAGAAGGAAAAACAAGAAGUUUUCCAUAUAUGACUUCCAAACUUCAAAUCCUGUACAUAAUGCAGUAAACUCUUAUCAUUUAAAAUUUCACUCAGGGAAAGCUUGUUGAAAAACAAACUUGAGAAGCAUCUUCCGCGAGUCAAGCUACAGCAGACACUAGGUGAACCAAACCAACCUUCUUCGGAAAAGCAAAUGAAAAGAUUCAGUAAAGGUUAUCCCAGAUUCCCAGUGUCCUACCACUAAAAGAAGCCUCCCACAUUGCAAGUUCUGGGAAAUAACAUUACGCAAUACUACCUACGUAGAUUGAACCAGUGACCUCCAAGUCACAACAAAGCAACCUUACCCUUGCACCAAGGCUCAACCUCCAAAAUUCAUGAAUGGCAAACAACAAUGCAACGCGAUAUUUCCAUGCCGAGUGAACUCCAAUUAAAAGUCAAAUACAACCACAUUUUAAGGCUCACUCUCCAAUAAGUUUCAAUGAGGAAGCAAUUUACCAUAUACCAACAUCCUCUAUCUGCGAAAGGUCUCUGGUGGCCAGACAUAUGACAAUCACGAGUUGCAUUUAGUACUUCUAAUCUACAAGUGGAGUCGUACAUAAUACUUUCCCAUAAGAAAGUGUGUGUGUGUGUGUGU
rnacentral:misc_RNA from 1 species